rfam:Triticum aestivum genome assembly, contig: Triticum_aestivum_CS42_TGACv1_scaffold_129550_2BL
UAUGUACUCCCUCUAUAUGGAAAUACUUGUCAUCAAAAUGGAUGAAAAUGGAUGUAUCUAGAAUUAAAAUACAUCUAGAUACAUCCAUUUCAAUGACAAGUAUUUCCGGACGGAGGGAGUAAGUG